rnacentral:rRNA from 1 species
GACGGAGGGUGCGAGCGUUGUUCGGAAUUACUGGGCGUAAAGCGCGCGCAGGCGGGUGCGCAAGUCGGGGGUGAAAGCGCGGGGCUCAACCCCGCGACGCCCUUCGAGACUGCGUGUCUAGGGACCGGUAGAGGUGAGUGGAAUUCCCGGUGUAGCGGUGGAAUGCGUAGAUAUCGGGAAGAACACCGGAGGCGAAGGCGGCUCACUGGGCCGGAUCCGACGCUGAGGCGCGAAAGCGUGGGGAGCAAACAGG